rnacentral:rRNA from 1 species
CAGUCGAGCGGACCGACGGGAGCUUGCUCCCUUAGGUCAGCGGCGGACGGGUGAGUAACACGUGGGUAACCUGCCUGUAAGACUGGGAUAACUCCGGGAAACCGGGGCUAAUACCGGAUGCUUGAUUGAACCGCAUGGUUCAAUCAUAAAAGGUGGCUUUUAGCUACCACUUACAGAUGGACCCGCGGCGCAUUAGCUAGUUGGUGAGGUAACGGCUCACCAAGGCGACGAUGCGUAGCCGACCUGAGAGGGUGAUCGGCCACACUGGGACUGAGACACGGCCCAGACUCCUACGGGAGGCAGCAGUAGGGAAUCUUCCGCAAUGGACGAAAGUCUGACGGAGCAACGCCGCGUGAGUGAUGAAGGUUUUCGGAUCGUAAAACUCUGUUGUUAGGGAAGAACAAGUACCGUUCGAAUAGGGCGGCACCUUGACGGUACCUAACCAGAAAGCCACGGCUAACUACGUGCCAGCAGCCGCGGUAAUACGUAGGUGGCAAGCGUUGUCCGGAAUUAUUGGGCGUAAAGCGCGCGCAGGCGGUUUCUUAAGUCUGAUGUGAAAGCCCCCGGCUCAACCGGGGAGGGUCAUUGGAAACUGGGGAACUUGAGUGCAGAAGAGGAGAGUGGAAUUCCACGUGUAGCGGUGAAAUGCGUAGAGAUGUGGAGGAACACCAGUGGCGAAGGCGACUCUCUGGUCUGUAACUGACGCUGAGGCGCGAAAGCGUGGGGAGCGAACAGGAUUAGAUACCCUGGUAGUCCACGCCGUAAACGAUGAGUGCUAAGUGUUAGAGGGUUUCCGCCCUUUAGUGCUGCAGCAAACGCAUUAAGCACUCCGCCUGGGGAGUACGGUCGCAAGACUGAA